rnacentral:rRNA from 1 species
UUUCGCAAUGCCCGAAAGGGUGACGAAGCGACGCCGCGUGCGGGAAGAAGGCCUUCGGGUUGUAAACCGCUGUCGGGAGUUAAGAAAUGUAAGGAUGUUAAUAGCAUCUUUGCUUGACUAAGGCUCCGGAGGAAGCCACGGCUAACUCUGUGCCAGCAGCCGCGGUAAUACAGAGGCGGCAAGCGUUGUUCGGAAUUAUUGGGCGUAAAGAGCACGUAGGCGGCUAUGUAAGUCGGUUGUGAAAGCCUUCCGCUCAACGGGAGAACAGCAUCCGAUACUGCAUGGCCUGAGUGCGGGAGGGGAGAGUGGAACUUCUGGUGGAGCGGUGUAAUGCAUAGAUAUCAGAAGGAACGCCGGCGGCGAAAGCGGCUCUCUGGCCCAUAACUGACGCUGAGUGUGCGAAAGCUAGGGGAGCAAACGGGAUUAGAUACUCCGGUAGUCCUAGCCGUAAACGAUGGGCACUAAGUAGAGGGGUUUUAAUCUC